rnacentral:tRNA from 1 species
GUCCCUGUAGAGCAAUGGAUAGCACGUUAGACUUCUUAUUCAAAGGUCGUGGGUUUGAAUCCCACCUGGGAUG